rnacentral:rRNA from 1 species
AGAGUUUGAUCAUGGCUCAGAACGAACGCUGGCGGCGUGGAUAAGACAUGCAAGUCGAACGCUGAUUUCAGGGUAGCAAUAUUCUGAAGUCGGAGUGGCGCAAGGGUGCGUAACACGUGGGUAAUUUGCCGUGAAGCCCGGAAUAACUCGCUGAAAGGCGAGCUAAUGCCGGAUGUGAUGUUUGGGAGGCAUCUCCUGAACCUUAAAGCUGGGGACCGCAAGGCCUGGCACUUCUCGAUAAGCCCGCGGCCUAUCAGCUAGUUGGUGAGGUAACGGCUCACCAAGGCUAAGACGGGUAGCUGGUCUGAGAGGACGACCAGCCACACUGGAACUGAGACACGGUCCAGACACCUACGGGUGGCAGCAGUCGAGAAUUUUUCUCAAUGGGCGAAAGCCUGAAGGAGCGACGCCGCGUGGGGGAUGAAUGGCUUCGGCCCGUAAACCCUUGUCAUUUGCGAUCAAACCCUGUUAUUUAAAAGAUGACAGGCUGAUAGUAGCGAAAGAGGAAGGACGGCUAACUCUGUGCCAGCAGCCGCGGUA